AUUGGUGCCAUCAGGAUCUAGUCUCCUUCCUUUGCAAGGUCCCCUGUACCUUGUGUGCAUCCUGAGGAGCCUAUAGCAAGGUCAGCUGACUGCUAAGCCCUCUGUUCUGCCAUUAAAGUGUGAGUGAUAAACCAUCGGACUCCUCUUUAUAUAGAACUAAUUACUUCUUACCAACAAAGCUACAGAGGACACAUUAACACUGUCGCCUGAAAUGACCCCGCAGUUUAUCCUUCCUCACAAGCAGAAUUACACACAAAGAAAUAAACGUUAUUUUCCUCAUAUUGUA
rnacentral:lncRNA from 1 species